rnacentral:lncRNA from 1 species
AUGAAUUGUUUCUCUUUUUCAGUUCCAUGUCCGCCACCUUAUUUGAAAGUCCGUAUGCAGAAGAUAAAUAAAAUGUACUGGGCAAUGAUAUCAUGGGAUAGAGUCAACUGUUCAAACGUGGAGUACUUGACAAAGAUAACUAGUAAAAUUGGAAAUAACCCACAAGCCCUGAUGGAUGUCUCCUCUUACUGGUGGGAAAGGCCGUACUUUGAGCUGCCAAUGCCCUGCAGCACAACUUUUAAUAUAACAGUACAGUCCAAAAACUCAGCUGGAGUCAGCAAGCCAUCCAGUAUUUAUUCUGGAAUCACAGCUCCCUGCGCUCCACAGAUGGUGCAAUACAUUGGUAGCGUGCAGUCAGUUGUGCUUUCCUGGAACGCAUCAGUGUUUGCCACAAACUACAUGGUCUACAAUGUAUCUGGCGGAAGCCGUGCAGUCCUCUGCAAUACUACUGAACUCUCCUGCCAGAUUGCCAACUUUAACCCCAGUUUCACUGAAGUCACUGCUGUCAAUAAAGUGGGGGAGAGCAACCCCACCCAAAAUAUUACAGGUAAGAUGCAGCAAUGUCCCCUAUCGUCUGGAAAAAAACAAAAUAAAAAAUCUGGCUAUUUCCUUCUUUAAUUCCAUUCUAAGCAUUUUGAUUGCCCAGUAGAAAGUAGUCCAAAAAGACUUUCAGACAGAUCUUAUUACAGUGAUUUGAUAACUAACAUUAAGAGGGAAUGCUGCACACAUGUAUUCCCAAUAACAUUUUACCUGCUUAGUCUUUGUUAUUAACUGAAUAUAUACUAAAAUAAACAACAACUAAAUUUAAGCAUAGUUUAUAAAUAGUUAAAAAGGAGCUGUGAAGGUAAAUUCCUUCAGUCAUAGCUGAAUUUAAGUCACAGUUAAUUGUCUUUCUCAGGUUUAGUGGGAGGGCGAAAAAGAAGAGGUCUGCAGGAUGAUCAGCUGUCCUCGGAUCUAGGGGAAGGUAAGUGUUGUUAAUUGCACAAUAACAUGGUGUAAUCAAAUCAUUUCAUUUUAAUCCAUCUUUAUUCACUGUUUCAGUCUUGGAGGUACCAGAAGUACUGACCGUAACAGUAAGCAAAGGUUCGCUGCAGGUGAAAUGGAGGAAAGUGAAGGACGCAACAGAGUACACAGUCAUGAUUGAGGAGGAGCAGAGCGAGGAGGUGCCGGGUCAACCUCCAAGAGUGGAAACGGUGGAAGGAGACUAUUAUGAAGAGACUGGCCUCAAGGCAUCGGCCACCUACUGUGUCAGGGUGGCAGCCAGAAACGCUGUCAACCAAAGCAGCUACUCCUGGCCAAAGUGCAGAAACACCGGAUCCUCGUUAUAAAUCAUUCUCACGAUUGAUUUAAAUCGACACUGGAACAAGCAUAACAUCAUCAUUUGGAUUAUUUCUGUUACAUUUGGCACGCAAAAGAUCUUUGAGAGGCUAAAUGUAUAUUAAGAAAAAGUAAUCAGCUGUGCAAUUCUUUAGAGUGAAUCCUGCAGAUCCCAGAAAAAGAAUAAUCAAACCUGGAAUUUAGAUAUGAAUAUUAAUGAAUUUAAGCUUUUAUAGUGUAAUUAAUUAUAGCAGUUCAAAAAAGUCUUGCAAAAUUGUAUUUAUCAAAAGUAAUUUUGUAUUGAAAGAGGAUUUCUUAGAUUAUAUGAAUGAUUGUUGAAAAAUGUAGUAUAAACUGAUAAAAUUAUAAUUUAUCAAACAAUGUUUUAACAACUUGCAUUAUAUUUUUCCUACAAUGAUGACUUCUCUUUUUUGUGAACAUUCAAAGACCAAAAUAAAAAAGGCUGUUGGC